GGGGGAAUAUUGCACAAUGGGGGGAAACUCUGAUCCAGUGACGCCGCGUGAAGGAAGAAGGUCUUCGGAUUGUAAACUUAUUUUAUCUGGGAAGAAAAAUGACUGUACCAGAGGAAGAAGCACCGGCUAACUACGUGCCAGCAGCCGCGGUAAUACGUAGGGUGCAAGCGUUAUCCGGAUUUACUGGGUGUAAAGGGCGAGUAGACGGUACUGCAAGUCAGAUGUGAAAUGCUAGAGCUCAACUUUAGAACUGCAUCUGAAACUGUAGAACUAGAGUGCAGGAGAGGUAAGCGGAAUUCCUAGUGUAGCGGUGAAAUGCGUAGGAUUAGUAGG
rnacentral:rRNA from 1 species